UCCUAUUGUGAGUAGGAACCAAUUAGGAUGCUCCAUCCAAUCCUUGGUCACCUUGCAGCCUUGAGCAGGAGUGUGAGCUGUAUAAAAGGUGGGCUAGUUAGAAUCCCUCAGACUCUUUGACUUCUCCGCACUCUCACGGACAGCUGUGUUGUAGGUCUAACCCAGAAUGUCUCAGCAGAAGCAGAAGCAGUGCUGUCCCCCACCUCAGCAAUGCUGUCCACCACCUCAGCAGUGCUGUCCCCCACCUCAGCAGUGCUGUCCCCCACCUCAGCAGUGCUGUCCCCCACCCCAGCAGUGCUGUCCCCCAACUCAGCAGACCAAGCAACCUUGCCAGCCUCCACCCAAGUGCCAGCAGAAGUGCCCACCCCCUCAGCAAUGUCAGAAGUCCAAGCAGAAGUAAGAUUGCAACCUGUCACCAGAGGCACGCCCCAGUGACACAGCAAGAAGUACCUUCAUUAACAUCCUGUACCCAUCAGAAGCAGGAGCAGCUCAUCAUGUCUCUGGCUGCAGCUGUAUUAUACUCUGUGGGGAGGCAGAACCAUGGCCAUACUUUCCUCCUUCUCUACCUCUUGUUAAUUAGCAGCUGCAGUUUCCAUCUCAGACAAGGAUCUGGCUUUAAAGUGUCUGCUCAUCUUCAGUGACAUGCUUCUUCAUUGUCUUGCUGGAAACUUGGACGCCACACCCAAACACCCUUUCCCAUCACCCUGUCCAAAACAUUAAAGUAGAAUUCCUCUGGCA